AGGUUUUAUCGUAUCCACAGGGAAACGGGGGAACUGAUCUACGCUCUAACUUAACCAAGAUAAGUAAAUAAGUGUAAAUAGGAAAGAUGGUAGAAUCGAAUAAGAACAAUAUUAAAGGUAAGAUAACAGUGAGUGAUAAUAUGGGAAUAGAGAGUAGAGCAAUUAUAGUAUAUGGGCGAUGGUAGCAGAAUAGAGAGAAUAACUAUGGUUUCUCUACUUAAAAGGGGUAUGUCUAUGUCUGGGACGAACCACGUGAUAAGAGUACACCACAAAGGAUGCUUAUCCUUAGGCCGAUAAACCCUACCCAUCCUGCUA
rnacentral:lncRNA from 1 species